GGCUCCACGGUGGCGCAGUUGGUAGCACUGUUGCCUUGCAACAGUGCAAUCGAUCCUGGGAUCGAUUCCCGUCCAGGGGUCU